AUGGUUAAGUUAGAAAGGGCGCACGGUGAAUGCCUUGGCACUAGGAGCCGAUGAAGGACGGGACUAACACCGAUAUGCUUCGGGGAGCUGUAAGUGAGCUUUGAUCCGGAGAUUUCCGAAUGGGGAAACCCACUGUUCGUAAUGGAACAGUAUCUUUAUCUGAAUACAUAGGAUAUUGAAGGCAGACCCGGGGAACUGAAACAUCUAAGUACCCGGAGGAAGAGAAAGCAAAUGCGAUUUCCUGAGUAGCGGCGAGCGAAACGGAAUUAGCCCAAACCAAGAGGCUUGCCUCUUGGGGUUGUAGGACACUCUAUACGGAGUUACAAAGGAACGAAGUAAAUGAAGCGACCUGGAAAGGUCCGUCRAAGAAGGUAACAACCCUGUAGUUGAAACUUCGUUCYCUCUUGAGUGGAUCCUGAGUACGGCGGAACACGUGAAAUUCCGUCGGAAGCUGGGAGGACCAUCUCCCAAGGCUAAAUACUACCUAGUGACCGAUAGUGAACCAGUACCGUGAGGGAAAGGUGAAAAGCACCCCGGAAGGGGAGUGAAAGAGAUCCUGAAACCGUGUGCCUACAAGUAGUCAGAGCCCGUUAACGGGUGAUGGCGUGCCUUUUGUAGAAUGAACCGGCGAGUUACGAUCCCAUGCAAGGUUAAGCUGAUAAGGCGGAGCCGUAGCGAAAGCGAGUCUGAAUAGGGCGUUUAGUAUGUGGUUGUAGACCCGAAACCAGGUGAUCUACCCAUGUCCAGGGUGAAGUUCAGGUAACACUGAAUGGAGGCCCGAACCCACGCACGUUGAAAAGUGCGGGGAUGAGGUGUGGGUAGCGGAGAAAUUCCAAUCGAACCUGGAGAUAGCUGGUUCUCUCCGAAAUAGCUUUAGGGCUAGCCUCAUGUUGUGAGAGUCUUGGAGGUAGAGCACUGAUUGGACUAGGGGCCCCCAACGGGUUACCGAAUUCAGUCAAACUCCGAAUGCCAAAGACUUAUCCAUGGGAGUCAGACUGCGAGUGAUAAGAUCCGUAGUCAAAAGGGAAACAGCCCAGACCACCAGCUAAGGUCCCCAAGUAUACGUUAAGUGGAAAAGGAUGUGGAGUUGCUUAGACAACCAGGAUGUUGGCUUAGAAGCAGCCACCAUUUAAAGAGUGCGUAAUAGCUCACUGGUCGAGUGACUCUGCGCCGAAAAUGUACCGGGGCUAAACGUAUCACCGAAGCUGUGGAUUGACAUCUUUGAUGUCAGUGGUAGG
rnacentral:rRNA from 2 species